UGGGGAAUUUUGGACAAUGGGCGAAAGCCUGAUCCAGCAAUGCCGCGUGUGUGAAGAAGGCCUUCGGGUUGUAAAGCACUUUUGUCCGGAAAGAAAUCCUUGGCUCUAAUACAGUCGGGGGAUGACGGUACCGGAAGAAUAAGCACCGGCUAACUACGUGCCAGCAGCCGCGGUAAUACGUAGGGUGCAAGCGUUAAUCGGAAUUACUGGGCGUAAAGCGUGCGCAGGCGGUUUGCUAAGACCGAUGUGAAAUCCCCGGGCUCAACCUGGGAACUGCAUUGGUGACUGGCAGGCUAGAGUAUGGCAGAGGGGGGUAGAAUUCCACGUGUGAGCAGUGAAAUGCGUAGAGAUGUGGAGGAAUACCGAUGGCGAAGGCAGCCCCCUGGGCCAAUACUGACGCUCAUGCACGAAAGCGUGGGGAGCAAACAGGAUUAGAUACCCUGGUAGUCCACGCCCUAAACGAUGUC
rnacentral:rRNA from 1 species